rnacentral:rRNA from 1 species
AGAGUUUGAUCAUGGCUCAGAUUGAACGCUGGCGGCAGGCCUAACACAUGCAAGUCGAACGGUAACAGGAAGCAGCUUGCUGCUUCGCUGACGAGUGGCGGACGGGUGAGUAAUGUCUGGGAAGCUGCCUGAUGGAGGGGGAUAACUACUGGAAACGGUAGCUAAUACCGCAUAAUGUCGCAAGACCAAAGAGGGGGACCUUCGGGCCUCUUGCCAUCGGAUGUGCCCAGAUGGGAUUAGCUUGUUGGUGGGGUAACGGCUCACCAAGGCGACGAUCCCUAGCUGGUCUGAGAGGAUGACCAGCCACACUGGAACUGAGACACGGUCCAGACUCCUACGGGAGGCAGCAGUGGGGAAUAUUGCACAAUGGGCGCAAGCCUGAUGCAGCCAUGCCGCGUGUAUGAAGAAGGCCUUCGGGUUGUAAAGUACUUUCAGCGGGGAGGAAGGGAGUAAAGUUAAUACCUUUGCUCAUUGACGUUACCCGCAGAAGAAGCACCGGCUAACUCCGUGCCAGCAGCCGCGGUAAUACGGAGGGUGCAAGCGUUAAUCGGAAUUACUGGGCGUAAAGCGCACGCAGGCGGUUUGUUAAGUCAGAUGUGAAAUCCCCGGGCUCAACCUGGGAACUGCAUCUGAUACUGGCAAGCUUGAGUCUCGUAGAGGGGGGUAGAAUUCCAGGUGUAGCGGUGAAAUGCGUAGAGAUCUGGAGGAAUACCGGUGGCGAAGGCGGCCCCCUGGACGAAGACUGACGCUCAGGUGCGAAAGCGUGGGGAGCAAACAGGAUUAGAUACCCUGGUAGUCCACGCCGUAAACGAUGUCGACUUGGAGGUUGUGCCCUUGAGGCGUGGCUUCCGGAGCUAACGCGUUAAGUCGACCGCCUGGGGAGUACGGCCGCAAGGUUAAAACUCAAAUGAAUUGACGGGGGCCCGCACAAGCGGUGGAGCAUGUGGUUUAAUUCGAUGCAACGCGAAGAACCUUACCUGGUCUUGACAUCCACGGAAGUUUUCAGAGAUGAGAAUGUGCCUUCGGGAACCGUGAGACAGGUGCUGCAUGGCUGUCGUCAGCUCGUGUUGUGAAAUGUUGGGUUAAGUCCCGCAACGAGCGCAACCCUUAUCCUUUGUUGCCAGCGGUCCGGCCGGGAACUCAAAGGAGACUGCCAGUGAUAAACUGGAGGAAGGUGGGGAUGACGUCAAAUCAUCAUGGCCCUUACGACCAGGGCUACACGCGUGCUACAAUGGCGCAUACAAAGAGAAGCGACCUCGCGAGAGCAAGCGGACCUCAUAAAGUGCGUCGUAGUCCGGAUUGGAGUCUGCAACUCGACUCCAUGAAGUCGGAAUCGCUAGUAAUCGUGGAUCAGAAUGCCACGGUGAAUACGUUCCCGGGCCUUGUACACACCGCCCGUCACACCAUGGGAGUGGGUUGCAAAAGAAGUAGGUAGCUUAACCUUCGGGAGGGCGCUUACCACUCUGUGAUUCAUGACUGGGGUGAAGUCGAAACAAGGUA